GGAGCGUAGCUCAGUGGUAAAGUCAUCUGCCUUGAAUGCAGAAGUUCCCAGAUUUAAUCCCCAGAAGCUCCA